UGUGUACCAUUAACAGACCCCACUGAUAAAACCCUCCCACAGGCAACUCCCUCUUCUCUCCCCAGGCAUCAAGUGAAUAGAGAAGAUUCUAUGGAUGUAGAAGAGGUCCCUGGGUUUCCGAAUUGCCACUGGAUUGCCUCUAUCAAAUACACAAGAGUUUCAUGAGUGAGAAAUAACCUUCUGUUGCUUUAAAUCUUGGGUUGUGCAAUACAUCAGUGAGCCUACCAUGACUAAUACAUUCUAUGGAUGCAGAUUUCUCUUCUCUGGCCAUUGACAUGAGUGUGCUUUCUGGAUGCAGUAUAAUAAUUACUAAGAAGUGCCAGUAAAAUUUACUGUUGAUCCAGUUUACUGUAAGCUUCGUGUCCUUAACACCAUCAUAAAUGAUGAACAGAUUAACAGAAUGUAAACAAAUUCUUCUCAGAAAACUUUUUUUUUCUUUUUUUUUAAGUCACAGGGGACCCAAGAUUCUUGGACAGAAUUCUCGCCGGGAGCCAACUCAGCCUGAUCUGCUGGCAUCUCUCAAGUAUCAGAAGUCAACAAAAUGGUUUGCCUUGAAGACUUGGCCAGAGCAGCAGCCAAAGUUCAUAAGGCUUUCGUAGAGAGAUUGUUUGUCUAAGAAAACAAAAUUCUAAGGGCUCCCAUUGUGCAGCUGGGGUGGCAAAAUGCAAACUAAUAUAAGGAAAAAAAAUGCUUUUCAUUUCCAUGGAAGAAAUGACCCAUCCUAUUGUUGAUAUUUCCUUUUCUGUGCUAACUUAUUCCAUUAAUUAGGCUCUCGUUUUAUGAGAUAAUUUCACUGCAUGCGUAUCUUCUUUUGGUUAUUACACAAGGACUGUUUUCUAUGGUUCAUAUCUAAGUCCAACCCUGGAAAAAUCUUUUUUUUUGAGACAGCCUUUUUUGUUUUGUUUUGAGACAAUACUCCCUCUGUUGCCCAGGCUGGAAUGCAGUGGUGAGAUCAUAGCUCACUGCAACUUCUGCCUCCUAGGCUCAAAAAAUCCUCCCACCUCAGCCUCCCAAGUAGCUGGGAUUGCAGGCAUAUGCCAUCACACCCGGCUAAUUUUUGGAUUUUUAGUAAAGUUUUGCCAUGUUGGCCAGGCUGAUCUUGAACUCCUGCCCUCAAGUGAUCUGCCCACCUUGACCUCCCAAAGUGCUGGGAUUACAGGUGUGAGCUACUGUGCUCAGCUCAGCCAUGGAACAAUCUUGAUGUAUAAUUUAUCUGCAGGUAUCUCCAUCUCUAUUUGCCACUCUUAGUAAAUGUUUUAGUUUGACAGUAAACGAGUUGAGACAUUAAUGAUUGAGAGAGCACCUAAGCAGCUCGAAGUGCUGGGAGUCUCUCCUAAAGAAUUAGAUGCACACAGCAUUUUUCCCUUACAGACACUUCACUGAGCAGUCAUGUUGGACUUGGGUGGCGUCUGCUAUUAGACACACUAUUCACCAAUAAAACCCUGAAAAUUGCAUUGCACAGGACUGAUAAAAAUAAGAUGACUUAAGAAACGUAUUUAUGGUAUAUAUACACAGAAAAAGAAUGAAAGUUUGAGGGGGUAUUGCCUCUGGGAGGAAGAGUUAUGAGUAGUUUGUAUUUCCUUUUUUGUUAAUCUGUAUUUCAUUUUUUAGGCAAUGCAAAUAUAUUAUUUAGACAACAAAAUACUUAUUAGAAAGAAAAGACAUGGUGGGUUUUUUCCCCUUUAUUCUUUGCUUUUCUAAGAGGAAACUUUGACUGCAAUUGCUUGUGAGUGAUACCUGUGUUCUGGUAGCUUAGGAAGACACAAUGUGGUUAGGGAAGGAUAAGAACAGAUGGCUUUAAUAAAUGUACUCAAGGCUAAUGUACCCUUCAUAGUCUCAGGCUUCAGAUCAGAUCUCUUAUCUAUGCUGGCACCAGGAUGUGGUUUUGAGUUCUCUGCUUUUUCUACAGCUUUAGGGAAAUCUGCAUGCAGGCACAUCUAAUUGUCCAAACCAAAAAUCACAUCCAGGAUGUGAGGCAGCCUGGGAGAGGUCAUUUUGAGUUCUGUAGUCUCCGAAGUAUAAAAACACAUAAACAUGUAUACAUACACACAUUAACACCCACACACUUUUGAAGGAAGAUGGAAUGGAAGACAAGCACCACAGUGAAACUUUAGAAGAAUUUCCCUUACAUUCAGGAAAAAAAGAUAGAGGGUCCAUUUUCAUCACUCUUAUUGCCAUUGUCUAGAAGAUAAGCCGUAAUAAGAUAAAAUAAAAAGUGUAUAGAACACUUGGAAAAAAAUAUAAAAGAUUGGUCCCAUUCUCCGAUGGCAUGAUAUUCAAAUGAAGAACCAACUAUAAACAGGUUGUUAUGAGCUGAAUGUUAAUGUGACCCCAAAAUUCAUAUGCUGAAAUCUUAACCCCAAAGGUGAUAGUGUUAGAUGGUGAGGCUUUUAGGAGUUGACACAGUGUAAUGCCUCUUCUAUGAAGAAGUGGGCCUUUGUCAGUUACCAAAUCUGCAGAGGCCUUGAUCUUGAACUUCCCAGCCUCCAGAGCUUGGAGGAAUGAAUGUUUAUUGUUUGUAAACCACCCAGUUUAUGGUAUUUUAUUAGAGCUGCUCAAAGGGUCUAAGACACAAGUAUAAGUCAUAAGUAAAUGCAUCAAAUUUGCUGAAUAUAAAUCAACAUAUAAAAAAUCAACAGCAUGCUUGGAUCCCUGGUAUGAAUCACAUCUGGUCAUGGCAAAUAAUCUAAAAAAAAAUAAUAAAAUAAUCAAUUUAAAAAAUUUAAAAAGCAACAGUAUUUACUAUUCAUUGCCAAUGACCAAUUAGAAAAUGGCAUAAACAUGACAUCUGUGAUAAGACAAAUACUCUAAGGUAACUAGAACUACAAGUAAUAAAAGAUGUGUACAGUUUACAGAGACGAUUGUAGAAAGCCAAAAAAAAUUAAAAGUGAAAACCUAAAUGGGAAGAAGCAUCAUG
rnacentral:lncRNA from 10 species